rnacentral:rRNA from 1 species
AUUGAACGCUGGCGGCAUGCUUUACACAUGCAAGUCGGACGGUAACAGGUUAAGCUGACGAGUGGCGAACGGGUGAGUAAUGCAUCGGAACGUGCCCGAUCGUGGGGGAUAACACUCUGAAGGAAGUGCUAGUACCGCAUACGCUCUGAUGAUGAAGGCGGGGGACCGUAAGGCGUCGCGCGCUCGCAGCGGCCGAUGCCAGAUGAGGUAGUUGGUGGAGUAAUGGCUCACCAAGCCGACGAUCGGUAGCUAGUCUGAGAGGACGAACAGCCACACUGGGACUGAGACACUGCCCAGACUCAGACGGGAGGCAGCAGUGGGGAAUUUUGGACAAUGGGCGCAAGCCUGAUCCAGCAAUGCCGCGUGCAGGAAGAAGGCCUUCGGGUUGUAAACUGCUUUUGUACGGAGCGAAAAGGCUCCCUCUAAUACAGGGAGCUAAUGACGGUACCGUAAGAAUAAGCACCGGCUAACUACGUGCCAGCCGCCGCAGUAA